rnacentral:ncRNA from 1 species
AAAGAAAUCGUUAAGGGCGUAUGGCGGAUGCCUAGGCUUUCAGAGGCGAAGAAGGACGUGGUAAGCUGCGAAAAGCUCGGGGGAUUGGCACACACGAAUUGAUCCCGAGAUGUCCGAAUGGGGCAACCCGGCAUGUUGAAGACAUGUCACUCUAAUUUAUUAGAGAGCAAACCCGGAGAACUGAAACAUCUAAGUACCCGGAGGAAAAGAAAUCGAAGAGAUUCCGUAAGUAGUGGCGAGCGAAAGCGGAUUAGCCCAAAAGUCUUUAUAUAUUUAGAAGAACGUACUGGAAAGUGCGGCCAUAGACGGUGAUAGCCCGGUAAUCGAAAGGUAUAUAGAGAUGAUCAAUGAGUAGGGCGGGACACGUGAAAUCCUGUCUGAAUAUGGGGGGACCAUCCUCCAAGGCUAAAUACUCGUGAUCGACCGAUAGUGAACCAGUACCGUGAGGGAAAGGCGAAAAGAACCCCGGAAGGGGAGUGAAAUAGAUCCUGAAACCGUAUGCAUACAAACAGUAGGAGCCUCCUUGUGGGGUGACUGCGUACCUUUUGUAUAAUGGGUCAGCGACUUACAUUCAGUGGCAAGCUUAACCGAAUAGGGAAGGCGUAGCGAAAGCGAGUCCGAAUAGGGCGUCUGAGUCGCUGGGUGUAGACCCGAAACCAAGCGAUCUAUCCAUGGCCAGGUUGAAGGCACGCUAACACGUGCUGGAGGACCGAACCCACUAAUGUUGAAAAAUUA